GACGAACGCUGGCGGCGUGCCUAAUACAUGCAAGUAGAACGCAGUUGCGAACGGGUGAGUAACGCGUAGGUAACUGCCUCAUAGCGGGGGAUAACUAUUGGAAACGAUAGCUAAUACCGCAUACUGUGAGAUGGACCUGCGGUGUAUUAGCUAGUUGGUGAGGUAAAGGCUCACCAAGGCGACGAUACAUAGCCGGCCCGAGAGGGGGGACGGGCAACAUGGGAACGGGAACCGGCCCCGGAUCCUACGGGAAGCAGCAGGAGGGGAACUUCGGCCAUGGGCGGAAAGCUGAACGAGGAAAGCCGCGGGAGUGAAGAAGGGUUUCGGAUCGUAAAGCCCCGUUGUUAGAGAAGCGGUAACUAACCAGAAAGGGACGGCUAACUACGUGCCAGCAGCCGCGGUAAUUC
rnacentral:rRNA from 1 species